GGUGGUAUCUGCCUUGCACUCUGGGAUAAGCUUGGGAAACUGGGUCUAAUACCGGAUAGGAACCGUCUUUAGUGUGGUGGUUGGAAAGUUUUUUCGGUGCAAGAUGAGCUCGCGGCCUAUCAGCUUGUUGGUGGGGUAAUGGCCUACCAAGGCGUCGACGGGUAGCCGGCCUGAGAGGGUGUACGGCCACAUUGGGACUGAGAUACGGCCCAG
rnacentral:rRNA from 1 species